GAAAAACUAGUGCACAAAUUUAUUUUAAUAAGCUGGAUAUGCAGCAUAAAUAUUUAUCAUUAUAUUUUUUAUUUAUUUAUUUUUAUCUGUUCUGAUGUCGUCUACUUUCCUACCUGGAAGAGGAGCUGAGUGAGCAAGGGCAGCCUGAAUGCCUCAAACUCCUGGGGAAUUUUCUCUCUUGGAAGCCAGUGGCAGCUUUACAUCUUUGUGUUAAUGUGUGACCAGGAAUAUGCCAAUUUGAUUCACUGCUCUGGAAAUACAGGCAGAAAUGUCAGUAAGAAAUUGGCAGGGUUCUACAGCCGUGGUCUGGCUUUGCCAUUCAAAGUUUAUCAUUCUGCUGAGAAAGCCUUGAGGAUUCCCAAAGCAGUGAUGUGAAAAUCAAGGAAAAAGGCAUUAAAUACACAACUUGUUCAGCUG
rnacentral:lncRNA from 1 species